UAGUCAUAUGCUUGUCUCAAAGAUUAAGCCAUGCAUGUCUAAGAAUAAACCUUUGAAUGGUGAAUCUGCGAAUGGCUCAUUAAAUCAGUUAUUGUUUAUUUGAUGGUACCUUACUACUUGGAUAACCGUAGUAAUUCUAGAGCUAAUACAUGCGUCAAGCCCCGACUUCGGAAGGGGUGCAUUUAUUAGAUUCAAACCAUCGGCCUCCCGUCAAAAGGAGGCCUUUGAUGGUGAGUCAUAAUAACUUAGCGAAUCGAAUGGCUUUAUGCUGUCGAUG
rnacentral:rRNA from 1 species